GUAGGUCCACUCGGAGGUGACCGGGUCCUGCUGGAACAGCUGUGGGAUCCAGAGUUUGUCUCCCCUCUCUCUGACCUCUUUCCGCUGAGCGUCCUCCAGGAUGAACUUCUCUUUGGUCGCCUGCUGUUGGUCCUGUUCCAUGAUGGCUCUGGUCACGUGCUGCCACAGUCUGUAAAAGACUCAAAUUCUCCCUGCUGGUCCAACUGGACCACCUGUCGUUUGAGGCGCCGGCUGCGGACCUCUGGAGUCGGGUUCCACAAAGUUUCCUGCUGGCCAGAGCGCUUCUCGUGGAGAAACACCUCGCUGUCCUGAUUAUCGAAGGAAAAAUCCUUUAAGUUUCUUAGUCGCUACACUGACAGCCUCCUCUAAAAUGUCUUCAGUAAAACAUUUUGCCAGCUGUUUUAUUUUUAGCCCACUAUGAAAGCCUUUAAAUAGUUUUCUACGUGCCGUGUCUAGCUGCUGCUCUCCACCCUAUAAUUACUGAAUCUGCUUCUAAUUACCAAGGAGAAUUACAUAAUGACUGCUGCUGAAACAGCAGCAGAGAGUGAUGCCAGACUACAAGACGAAUCAACACCAGAUCUUACCCAGUGCCCAUCUACAGUGGCCAUUAGCUCAUCUCCCACCAGAAUCUUCCCGCAGAUCAGAUUUACGGAGGCGGAGCCUCCGAGGAAUGGCUGGAGUCGAUAGAAGAGUCAAACAACAACAACAAAACAAGAUGUUUUGAAUUGUUUGCAAUAAAAUACCUUCAGUUUGAA